UACGUAGGGUGCAGGCGUUAAUCGGAAUUACUGGGCGUAAAGCGUGCGCAGGCGGUCUUUUAAGUCAGAUGUGAAAUCCCCGGGCUUAACCUGGGAACUGCGUUUGAAACUGGAAGGCUAGAGUAUGGCAGAGGGGGGUGGAAUUCCACGUGUAGCAGUGAAAUGCGUAGAGAUGUGGAGGAACACCGAUGGCGAAGGCAGCCCCCUGGGCCAAUACUGACGCUCAUGCACGAAAGCGUGGGGAGCAAACAGG
rnacentral:rRNA from 1 species